rnacentral:rRNA from 1 species
CCUACGGUGUGCAGCAGUGAGGAAUAUUGGUCAAUGGACGAGAGUCUGAACCAGCCAAGUAGCGUGAAGGAUGACUGCCCUAUGGGUUGUAAACUUCUUUUAUAUGGGAAUAAAAUGUUCCACGUGUGGGGUUUUGUAUGUACCAUAUGAAUAAGGAUCGGCUAACUCCGUGCCAGCAGCCGCGGUAAUACGGAGGAUCCGAGCGUUAUCCGGAUUUAUUGGGUUUAAAGGGAGCGUAGGUGGGUUGUUAAGUCAGUUGUGAAAGUUUGCGGCUCAACCGUAAAAUUGCAGUUGAAACUGGACGUCUUGAGUACAGUAGAGGGAGGCGGAAUUCGUGGUGUAGCGGUGAAAUGCUUAGAUAUCACGAAGAACUCCGAUUGCGAAGGCAGCCUGCUGGACUGCAACUGAUGCUGAGGCUCGAAAGUGUGGGUAUCAAACAGGAUUAGAUACCCUUGUAGUC